AGCCAGGCCGCGGGGCGCUGACGACUGAGUCGGUCCCGUCAGAGCUGCGGGCGGCCGGCUUUCCCGCCACGCGGCGAGACGUGCGGGGAUUCGGGUGGGCAGGGAGGGUGGCGUUGGAGCACCCGUUUAUAUCUGGCAGGAAUACUGCCUCACACAGAGUACAGCCCAGAAAGGACCACCGUUAGAAUUAGUUGAAGCGGCUGCAUCCGAAUCCAAAUCCUUUGUUUUCAAGCUUCAUUCUCAUUCUUUCGCUCAUUCUUUCAUUAUCUUUGAGUGUCCCCCCCCCCCCAUUGAGGACACCCGUGAGUCGGUUCUGGGGGACGAGCGGGCGGUACAGGGGUGGAAAAGGCAGCCCUGGGGGGCGGGGCUCAAAGAGCAGCGGAGGAGCGCUAGUACAGGCCUGCCCAGGUGCGAGGCCAGAAUGCCUGCGCUGGCCCUUGGGUUGCAGUUGGCUAACAGAACAGAACAGGGAAAGCGGAGCAAGUGCAACAAGAAAGCUUGUCUAGUGUACAGUGAGUGGAGUUGGGUGAACUGUGCUAGAGAAAAUGAAAUCAGAUGUGAACGUGAACCAGAUGUCCAGCCUAAUUUACAAUUCGUCUGUUAAUAAGUGAAGUCCCAUAUUUGAAGAAUUUUAAAGUAUUGACAUGAUCAAAAUUGAAUAUUUGAAAAAUCAUUCUGAAAGCAGGCUGAAAGAUACGACGAAAUUAAGCAGGCCAUUUGAAGUCUUCCCUGGGAGACAUUUAGGAUCACUCCAGGAAGAAAUAAGACGAAGAGCUAAGUAGGAAGAAGAAGGGAUAAAUCUGGGAGGUGUUCAUGAGGGGAAAUCAAUAUAGUUCAGUGACAAAUUGGAUAGCAGAGGCAAAUGAGAAGGUAGGGUGAUUGGGUUUCUGACUUGGGCAAACAAGUGAAUCAGUGGUGAUGGCACAAAAUAGGAAACACCCGAGGCAUAAUAGAUUUGGGGAAGGAAAUGAGUUCAAAUUGGGACUUAUACACACAAUGUUUGAGCUAUGCAUAAAGCUAUCAUAUAAACAAAAUAUAUAGCAAUACACCUAUAUAGCAUAUAUACACACCAGUCAUACACAUAUUUCAUAGAUUAAUUAGAAUAUAGGUACACACCAAUCAUACGCAUAUUACAUAAAUUAGACCAUUACGAAAGGGAUGUUAAGAAAAAGUUACACAUUCCAGAAAAAAAUCAUUUAGAGAACUCAAAAGACAACUUCCAAAAGGAGAUUAGAACCAGAAGGAUAUGUUAAAGCAAAGAACGGUUGACUAGAAUGGGUGACCGAAGAAAAAAUUUAUCUGUAGAAUAAACAAAAAUCCUAAAGUGAAAGGAAUGGUAGGCAUUGAUGGCCUGGGUGAGGGCAGGGGAGGAAAUUUGGCAUUUUCUUGAAACUAGUGUAAAACCAGUAUGGCUGGGCCAAAGCAAAAGGUAUAUGUUGAAGAUUAAUUUGGAGAAAUGGGAAAAACCAAAACCAUACAGUGUUUUAUAGACAUUGCUAAGGAAGUUGCAUUUUAUUAGAAAAAAAAUUGGGAGAUAUUGAAGGGUCCCAAGUGCAACACUAAUGUGAUAGGAUUUAGCAUUUAAAACUGUGGCUUUUCACAAGCACUUCCACGUGUGCUCAGGUUCUUGUUAGCUGUCUUGGUGUAGAAAUGGCUCCCAGGAACACUCCUGGCAUCCAUUGAGACAACUCACCUGGCCUACAGGGAAGCAUCAGGUGAUGUAAUCUUGAUGAGAAUGUGCUCUGUGAAAUAAGGUGCCUGAAGGCAGUGGACAGUGGAGUCUAUAUAUUCAUCCAGCCCCAGCUGUAGAAAAUCAACUCUAAGCUCAGGAUUCAAUUCUCAUCAAUCUAGUUAAAAUAGAUGAUUUUCUUCUUUGGGAAUAUAUUUAACAAUGCAUCAUAUUUUACAUUAUAUAAUAAAAUUAUUUUGUAUUACUAUGUGAAAUUAAUAGAAAUCAUUUUGACAAAAAUAUUACUGCAAAAAAAUCAGGUAAAGCUAAAAUCAGAAAUUUAUUGAGGGAAAAGAAAUUUGUAAAUAAAAAUAAUAGACUCAAAUUUUUAUAAUUGAUGAAGGAAAAUGAACCACAUAAAUAUAUUGAAACUAGAAAUAUUGGCAUCUAUAAGGUAAUGAAAUAAUACAAGAAGUUCUUUAAAACAAGAACUUGACAAGAGAUUAAUGAGUCUUAGCAAUUUAGAAAGCACUCAGCCUAAGAAGACUUAAAGUGCUUGAAAUGAAAGCUCACACAAGAAAUUUAUGACAGAAUUUCCCAAAUUUAGCAAUACUAAAAAUUGACAUUAUUAUUGGCAAAUAACAUGUGAACAAACUGUGAAAAUCAAAUUUUCCAAACUUAAUAACUUUGCUUGAGUGGAAUACUAAAUGAUCCAUUCUCAUUAGAGACAAAGUGUUACAAAAUUGUCAAAUGAUAAGGCAAUCAAAAAUUUUAAAGCUAAAAGUAAAGGAAAAAAACAUAGUGAUGUUUCAGGCAAUUAAUUUAAAAUAUUUUUCUGAAUUUUUUUAUGUUUGUGGUAUUAUUGUUUUUUUUUUAAAUCUGUAAUUUGUCUUCAUUGCUUUUCUUGCCCUAAGUGGAUAUCUGCUUUUCCUCUUCACCAUCUCCAUAUCACCCCCGCCCCCAAAAAAGACUUGGUGAAUGGAUGAAAGAAAAGGAAGAGUGAAAAUAGGAAUCUCAAUUAGAAGAACAAUUCACAGUUCACAGGUGUUCGUACUUUUUUCUUUUCACAGGUGAGCUACAGACAAUGAACAGCAGGGGGCACAAAACCCAAAAUGGCAUAAAACCUUCAACUUUCUGAGAGGAGAAAUUGGCAACCUUGAAUUCUACAUCUGGAAGAACCACAAAGGGAAUAUGACAUCAGAUCAAAAACCAUCUAAGAAAUAAAAGGGUUAAAAUUCAUUUCUCUUCUCCUUCUUUUCUCAGAAAGUAAAGAGAGACUUGCUCCACCACAAUGAAGGAAUAAGCCAAGAACAAUCAGGACAGUGUGGGAUCUAAACCAGAAAGGAGAAAGAGGAAUUUUCAGUUUGAUGGUGAAAAAUGACAGCUUAGUAGCAGGAAGCCUAAAUAAAAGAUUACCUGACCCAUUGGCCUAUGUUAAUGGGAAGUUUAUAGUUUAAUAAAAGAAUAUGAGAAGAACUAAUGAUUUAUAUAUGAAAAAUUAAACAAAUCCAAAGGGGAGGUUGCUGUAGGUAUUCUGACAGUGGAAAUGUACAGGGAAGCAUUCCCCUGGUGAGCAAACUCUGGGGGAUGGAGGGUUGGGAGGGUGUUAGUGGUGCCCUGUUUCCCACACUUGGAAUACCCAGCAGUUUCCCAUUGAAGCUAUUAAGGUAACUAUGCAGGUGUACUCUCUAGUUUCUAUGGUGACGUCCUUGGAGAAAAAGGCUCUGUAUUUGUAUUAACCUGGACAUUAUCUCAGUUAGCUAGCACUCAGGGUUAAAGGAAUACUAGUUAGAAUGUAGUUAUAGAAUGUAGUUAUGGUAUCGGUGAGCUACCUAACUUUUGAGAAAAAUAAACGCAACUGCUGGGAGGAGCAGCCACUUCUCUUCUGCAUUGUCUCUGUGUGUGUGUGUGUGUGUGUGUGUGUGUGUGUGUGUGUGUGUAUGUGCGUGCGCUUUUGUUUGCUUCUUUACAGGUUUCAUUACAGGUUACAGUUAUCUAUAAAUCCAAGAAAAUGUUUACAGAGCCAUAUGAAAAAAAUGUACUAUAUUACUUGGCUAGGCUGUGAAUGUAAUUUACCUAAUCAUAAAAAAGCAAACACUAAAUAAUAUUAUAACUUGACUGGGAAUAUGGAAACAGGUAAAGGAAGAAGAAUGGGAGGGUGGUAUGAGGGCUAAAUCCUACAACUUUACCUGUUUACAUAAUGUCUAAAAUUUCUUAAUCAAAAAGAAAAAGGAUGCUCAAACAAUGCAAACACAUGGAAAUACUAGCAGAACAGCUGGAAGAGUUGAAAGUACCUGGGGGAUGAAAACUAGAGGUCAGCCAGAUUAGGAGGCUGCAGUCCGUGUGACAUUUAGAAUUGUGCAUAUGAAUUACCUUAAUAAAAGCAAAAAUUUGAAGAAGAAAAAAAAACCAAAUCACCCACUCUUUUCUCAACUCACUCAUUCCUUAAUGACAGCAGGUCUUUUUAAAAUUUUUUUUAUUGGUUGUUCAAAACAUUACAAUGCUCUUGACAUAUCAUAUUUCAUACAUUUGAUUCAAGUGGGUUAUGAACUCCCAUUUUUACCACAUAUACAGAUUGCAGAUUCACAUUGGUUACACAUCCACAUUUAUACAUACUGCCAUACUAGUGUCUGUUGUAUUUUGCUGCCAUCUUGUUUAUACCCUGGAAGGGACCUUUAAUACUGAGGUUCUAUUUUGUCUCCAAUAAAGACUGGACAACAAAAGAAAACCUGUUCUUUUUCUUCCUGAUAGGUAGGUCACUAUGAAGUUAACUUUUUUAACAUCAAACUUUGAGUUGAAAUUAGAAGUAGUAAAACAGUAAAUUUCAAUAACUAUGGCUCAUAUCAAAUUACUUAUAUUUUCUUGGUUUUUAUCCAAAAAUCAUUAGCAGACUUCAUAUCUAUAAUUUACAAUGAUAUAAUUAUCCAUUUUAAUCUUUUUGUCAAGCUAGACAAAAUUUGACCAAAAUCUGUAGUGCUAAUUGCUUAAUUUUCCUGAGAUGUCAAUUUAUCAUUUGUAAAAUUGCGGCAAGAUUACUAUCUUAUAGAAAUCCUUUAUGGGUACCAAAGUUAAUUUUUAAAAUUUGAUAAAUUAUAAGAACUGUUCUUGAAUCUAGAAGCCAUGAAGCAGAGCUACUGCAUGAGAUUGUGCACUCUGUGUUCUGCCAAGUAGGUGGGAGGAGAGCUAAGAUUCUUUUGCUCACCAUGUCAAAAUAAUCACAGAUUUAAAAAACAAAACAAAAAGAUACCAUAGAGCUAAACCUGGAGAGGGCACUGUUUUUCUUAUUGACUUAUCCAGAGAAGCCCCUUUUCUUUUGCAAUUAGACCAAUCAGAGGAUGGAUCUUUUGUCUAAUUCACAAAAGAUGCUGUAUAUCCUAGCUGUGCCUUUGAUCAUCUUCUAAAUAAGGCUCUUUUUUAUUUUGAUCAAUUUGCUCAUGGGCAAACAAACUCUAAGACUAUGAGCAGUUGUGAAAUCUAUAAGAUCAUGACCCCCUUUUACAGAUUGAUGCCCUCUAACGAAUGUCCGAUUACUUACCAGGAAUGUGUUUCCACAGUGUCCACACACCACCCUUGUUCCUUCUGGUUGGAUUGGCAAUGCAGGCUGAGCUGGCUGCUCUUCAGAAAUAAGCAUUACUGGGCCAAGAUUAAUUAUGCGUCUACUGUGAAAUAAAAAAAAAUACUGUCAUCAGAUGGGCCUGUAAUGUUUCAUGCAAUGAUCAAAGAAUCAGAAAUCACAGAAAAAACAGGUGCAAGUAUUCAUAGAAGAUUCCUGCCCCUGUCCAGGAAAAGCAAGCUCAGUAAGAACAACGGGAAAAGUGGAGUUCAGAACACAUUUGAACUUUUCUCAAACUUCAUUCAGUAGAAUAUAAAUGAUUAAUUUUAUGACAUAACUUUUUUAAAAAUCUUGUAAUUGCUCUUAGUAUUAACAUUUAAAAAAACUUUGGAGUAAACUUAAAAAUGAGAAUAAAAAACAUCAAAGGAAAUAUCAUUUGCAAUAACUUAAGCUUGUUGAACUAAAUAAUCUAUGAACGGAACAGAACAUCACUCCUGCAACAUUCCUGCCAAAAAAGUAUAACCCGAAGCUAAUCAUGUGGAAACAUCAGACAAACCCAAAACUGAGAGACAUUCUACAAAAUAUCUUGCCUGUAAUGUUAAAAAAAUAAAAGAUGAAGAAAGAACAAGUUUCAGAUAAAAGGACAGUAAAGAGAUAUGACAACCUAA